rnacentral:rRNA from 1 species
CCUACGGGAGGCAGCAGUGGGGAAUAUUGGACAAUGGGGGCAACCCUGAUCCAGCCAUGCCGCGUGUGUGAAGAAGGCCCUCGGGUUGUAAAGCACUUUCAGUGAGGAAGAACGCCUGGUGGUUAAUACCCAUCAGGAAAGACAUCACUCACAGAAGAAGCACCGGCUAACUCCGUGCCAGCAGCCGCGGUAAUACGGAGGGUGCGAGCGUUAAUCGGAAUUACUGGGCGUAAAGCGCGCGUAGGUGACUUGAUAAGCCGGUUGUGAAAGCCCCGGGCUCAACCUGGGAACGGCAUCCGGAACUGUCAAGCUAGAGUGCAGGAGAGGAAGGUAGAAUUCCCGGUGUAGCGGUGAAAUGCGUAGAGAUCGGGAGGAAUACCAGUGGCGAAGGCGGCCUUCUGGACUGACACUGACACUGAGGUGCGAAAGCGUGGGUAGCAAACAGGAUUAGAUACCCCGGUAGUC